GGUUAAGCGACUAAGCGUACACGGUGGAUGCCCUGGCAGUCAGAGGCGAUGAAGGACGUGCUAAUCUGCGAAAAGCGCCGGCGAGGUGAUAUGAACCCUUGACCCGGCGAUGUCCGAAUGGGGAAACCCAGUGCAAUCCGUUGCACUAUCGUUAACUGAAUACAUAGGUUAACGAGGCGAACCGGGGGAACUGAAACAUCUAAGUACCCCGAGGAAAAGAAAUCAACCGAGAUUCCCCCAGUAGCGGCGAGCGAACGGGGAGCAGCCCGGAGUCUGAAUCAGCUUGUGUGUUAGUGGAACGGUCUGGAAAGUCCGACGGUACAGGGUGAUAGUCCCGUACACGAAAGCACACAUGCUGUGAACUCGAAGAGUAGGGCGGGACACGUGGUAUCCUGUCUGAAUAUGGGGGGACCAUCCUCCAAGGCUAAAUACUCCUGACUGACCGAUAGUGAACCAGUACCGUGAGGGAAAGGCGAAAAGAACCCCGGCGAGGGGAGUGAAAAAGAACCUGAAACCGUGUACGUACAAGCAGUGGGAGCCUCUUUAUGGGGUGACUGCGUACCUUUUGUAUAAUGGGUCAGCGACUUAUAUUCUGUAGCAAGGUUAACCGUAUAGGGGAGCCGAAGGGAAACCGAGUCUUAACUGGGCGUUAAGUUGCAGGGUAUAGACCCGAAACCCGGUGAUCUAGCCAUGGGCAGGUUGAAGGUUGGGUAACACUAACUGGAGGACCGAACCGACUAAUGUUGAAAAAUUAGCGGAUGACCUGUGGCUGGGGGUGAAAGGCCAAUCAAACCGGGAGAUAGCUGGUUCUCCCCGAAAGCUAUUUAGGUAGCGCCUCGUGAACUCAUCUUCGGGGGUAGAGCACUGUUUCGGCUAGGGGGCCAUCCCGGCUUACCAACCCGAUGCAAACUACGAAUACCGAAGAAUGUUAUCACGGGAGACACACGGCGGGUGCUAACGUCCGUCGUGAAGAGGGAAACAACCCAGACCGCCAGCUAAGGUCCCAAAGUCAUGGUUAAGUGGGAAACGAUGUGGGAAGGCACAGACAGCCAGGAUGUUGGCUUAGAAGCAGCCAUCAUUUAAAGAAAGCGUAAUAGCUCACUGGUCGAGUCGGCCUGCGCGGAAGAUGUAACGGGGCUAAACCAUGCACCGAAGCUGCGGCAGCGACACUUAUGUGUUGUUGGGUAGGGGAGCGUUCUGUAAGCCGUUGAAGGUGUGCUGUGAGGCAUGCUGGAGGUAUCAGAAGUGCGAAUGCUGACAUAAGUAACGAUAAAGCGGGUGAAAAGCCCGCUCGCCGGAAGACCAAGGGUUCCUGUCCAACGUUAAUCGGGGCAGGGUGAGUCGACCCCUAAGGCGAGGCCGAAAGGCGUAGUCGAUGGGAAACAGGUUAAUAUUCCUGUACUUGGUGUUACUGCGAAGGGGGGACGGAGAAGGCUAUGUCAGCCGGGCGACGGUUGUCCCGGUUUAAGCAUGUAGGCGGAGGUUCCAGGUAAAUCCGGUACCUUAUUAACGCUGAGGUGUGAUGACGAGGCACUACGGUGCUGAAGUGAUAAAUGCCCUGCUUCCAGGAAAAGCCUCUAAGCAUCAGGUAACACGAAAUCGUACCCCAAACCGACACAGGUGGUCAGGUAGAGAAUACCAAGGCGCUUGAGAGAACUCGGGUGAAGGAACUAGGCAAAAUGGUGCCGUAACUUCGGGAGAAGGCACGCUGAUAUGUAGGUGAAGCCCCUGCGGGCGGAGCUGAAAUCAGUCGAAGAUACCAGCUGGCUGCAACUGUUUAUUAAAAACACAGCACUGUGCAAACACGAAAGUGGACGUAUACGGUGUGACGCCUGCCCGGUGCCGGAAGGUUAAUUGAUGGGGUUAGCGGCAACGCGAAGCUCUUGAUCGAAGCCCCGGUAAACGGCGGCCGUAACUAUAACGGUCCUAAGGUAGCGAAAUUCCUUGUCGGGUAAGUUCCGACCUGCACGAAUGGCGUAAUGAUGGCCAGGCUGUCUCCACCCGAGACUCAGUGAAAUUGAACUCGCUGUGAAGAUGCAGUGUACCCGCGGCAAGACGGAAAGACCCCGUGAACCUUUACUAUAGCUUGACACUGAACACUGGUCCUUGAUGUGUAGGAUAGGUGGGAGGCUUUGAAGCGUGGACGCCAGUCUGCGUGGAGCCAACCUUGAAAUACCACCCUUUAAUGGCUGGUGUUCUAACGUGGACCCGUAAUCCGGGUUGCGGACAGUGUCUGGUGGGUAGUUUGACUGGGGCGGUCUCCUCCCAAAGAGUAACGGAGGAGCACGAAGGUUGGCUAAUCCUGGUCGGACAUCAGGAGGUUAGUGCAAUGGCAUAAGCCAGCUUGACUGCGAGCGUGACGGCGCGAGCAGGUGCGAAAGCAGGUCAUAGUGAUCCGGUGGUUCUGAAUGGAAGGGCCAUCGCUCAACGGAUAAAAGGUACUCCGGGGAUAACAGGCUGAUACCGCCCAAGAGUUCAUAUCGACGGCGGUGUUUGGCACCUCGAUGUCGGCUCAUCACAUCCUGGGGCUGAAGUAGGUCCCAAGGGUAUGGCUGUUCGCCAUUUAAAGUGGUACGCGAGCUGGGUUUAGAACGUCGUGAGACAGUUCGGUCCCUAUCUGCCGUGGGCGCUGGAGAAUUGAGGGGGGCUGCUCCUAGUACGAGAGGACCGGAGUGGACGCAUCACUGGUGUUCGGGUUGUCAUGCCAAUGGCACUGCCCGGUAGCUAAAUGCGGAAGAGAUAAGUGCUGAAAGCAUCUAAGCACGAAACUUGCCCCGAGAUGAGUUCUCCCUGAGACUUUAAGUCUCCUGAAGGAACGUUGAAGACGACGACGUUGAUAGGUCGGGUGUGUAAGCGCAGCGAUGCGUUGAGCUAACCGAUACUAAUGAACCGUGAGGCUUAACCUU
rnacentral:rRNA from 1 species